rnacentral:rRNA from 1 species
CUACGGAGGGUGCAAGCGUUAAUCGGAAUUACUGGGCGUAAAGCGUGCGUAGGUGGUUUGUUAAGUCAGAUGUGAAAGCCCCGGGCUCAACCUGGGAACUGCAUUUGAAACUGGCAUACUAGAGUAUAGGAGAGGAAAGUGGAAUUUCAGGUGUAGCGGUGAAAUGCGUAGAUAUCUGAAGGAACAUCAAUGGCGAAGGCAGCUUUCUGGACUAAUACUGACACUGAGGUACGAAAGCGUGGGUAGCAAACAGGAUUAGAAACCCCAGUAGUCC